GAUGAACGCUGGCGGCGUGCCUAAUACAUGCAAGUCGAGCGAAUGGAUUAAGAGCUUGCUCUUAUGAAGUUAGCGGCGGACGGGUGAGUAACACGUGGGUAACCUGCCCAUAAGACUGGGAUAACUCCGGGAAACCGGGGCUAAUACCGGAUAACAUUUUGAACCGCAUGGUUCGAAAUUGAAAGGCGGCUUCGGCUGUCACUUAUGGAUGGACCCGCGUCGCAUUAGCUAGUUGGUGAGGUAACGGCUCACCAAGGCAACGAUGCGUAGCCGACCUGGGAGGGUGAUCGGCCACACUGGGACUGAGACACGGCCCAGACUCCUACGGGAGGAAGCAGUAGGGAAUCUUCCGCAAUGGACGAAAGUCUGACGGAGCAACGCCGCGUGAGUGAUGAAGGCUUUCGGGUCGUAAAACUCUGUUGUUAGGGAAGAACAAGUGCUAGUUGAAUAAGCUGACACCUUGACGGUACCUAACCAGAAAGCCACGGCUAACUACGUGCCAGCAGCCGCCGCGG
rnacentral:rRNA from 1 species